GAGAAGAACGUAGCGAAAUGCGAUACGUAAUGUGAAUUGCAAAUUCAGUGAAUCAUCGAGUCUUUGAACGCACAUUGCGCCCCCUGGUAUUCCGGGGGGCAUGCCUGUCCGAGCGUCAUUGCUGCCCUCAAGCACGGCUUGUGUGUUGGGCCCCGUCCUCCGAUCCCGGGGGACGGGCCCGAAAGGCAGCGGCGGCACCGCGUCCGGUCCUCGAGCGUAUGGGGCUUUGUCACCCGCUCUGUAGGCCCGGCCGGCGCUUGCCGAUCAACCCAAAUUUUUUAUCCAGGUUGACCUCGGAUCAGGUAGGGAUACCCGCUGAACUUAAGCAUAUCAAUAAGCGGAGGA
rnacentral:misc_RNA from 1 species